rnacentral:rRNA from 1 species
AUGCACCGGUUUUCAUGGUGGAAGCUCUAUAUUCCCAAGUGUGAUGAUGGCAUGGGUUGCAGGGAUCUGCAUUCUUUUAAUCUGGUACUCCUUGCAAAACAAUGUUGGAGAAUGAUAACUAAUCAUGAAUUCGUUUGUGCUCACAUCUUGAAGUCAAAGUACUUUCCAAAUACUGAUUUGUUACAUGCUGUCCAAAAGAAUGGUUCCUCAUUCACCUGGCAGAGUAUUGUUGCUGGGUUAACUACUUUUAAAAGAGGGUACAUAUGA